CUACAAAUGAAUUGACGGGGACCCGCACAAGCGGUGGAUGAUGUGGAUUAAUUCGAUGCAACGCGAAGAACCUUACCUACCCUUGACAUGUCCGGAACUUGCCAGAGAUGGCUUGGUGCCCGAAAGGGAAUCGGAACACAGGUGCUGCACGGCUGUCGUCAGCUCGUGUCGUGAGAUGUUGGGUUAAGUCCCGCAACGAGCGCAACCCUUAUCAUUAGUUGCUACGCAAGGGCACUCUAAUGAGACUGCCGGUGACAAACCGGAGGAAGGUGGGGAUGACGUCAAGUCCUCAUGGCCCUUAUGGGUAGGGCUUCACACGUCAUACAAUGGUCGGUACAGAGGGUCGCCAACCCGCGAGGGGGAGCCAAUCCCAGAAACCCGAUCGUAGUCCGGAUUGUAGUCUGCAACUCGAGAGCAUGAAGUCGGAAUCGCUAGUAAUCGCGGAUCAGCAUGUCGCGGUGAAUACGUUCCCGGGUCUU
rnacentral:rRNA from 1 species